GGCUGGAUAGCUCACGCAGGAGAGCGUCGGUCUGAAGAACCGGAGGGUAGAGUGCAACUCUCUGCCAGCCACCA
rnacentral:tRNA from 1 species